CUACGGGGCGCUCCAGUGGGGAAUAUUGCGCAAUGGGCGAAAGCCUGACGCAGCAACGCCGUGUGAGGGAUGAAGGCUUUCGGGUCGUAAACCUCUGUCGGAAGGGAAGAACGGGCAUUGGUCUAAUAGGCCUUUGUUUUGACGGUACCUUUAGAGGAAGCACCGGCUAACUCCGUGCCAGCAGCCGCGGUAAUACGGAGGGUGCAAGGUUAUUCGGAAUUACUGGGCGUAAAGCGCACGUAGGCCGUUUUGUAAGUCAGGGGUGAAAUCCCACGGCUCAACCGUGGAACUGCCUUUGAAACUGCAGGACUUGAAUGCUGGAGAGGGUGGCGGAAUUCCUGGUGUAGGAGUGAAAUCCGUAGAUAUCAGGAGGAACACCGGUGGCGAAGGCGGCCACCUGGACAGGUAUUGACGCUGAGGUGCGAAAGUGUGGGGAGCAAACAGGAUUAGAUACCCGGGUAGUC
rnacentral:rRNA from 1 species